rnacentral:rRNA from 1 species
AGUGAACGCUGGCGGUAGGCCUAACACAUGCAAGUCGAACGGCAGCACAGUAAGAGCUUGCUCUUACGGGUGGCGAGUGGCGGACGGGUGAGGAAUACAUCGGAAUCUACUUUUUCGUGGGGGAUAACGUAGGGAAACUUACGCUAAUACCGCAUACGACCUACGGGUGAAAGCGGGGGAUCUUCGGACCUUGCGCGAUCGAAUGAGCCGAUGUCGGAUUAGCUAGUUGGCGGGGUAAAGGCCCACCAAGGCGACGAUCCGUAGCUGGUCUGAGAGGAUGAUCAGCCACACUGGAACUGAGACACGGUCCAGACUCCUACGGGAGGCAGCAGUGGGGAAUAUUGGACAAUGGGCGCAAGCCUGAUCCAGCCAUACCGCGUGGGUGAAGAAGGCCUUCGGGUUGUAAAGCCCUUUUGUUGGGAAAGAAAAGCAGCAGGUUAAUACCCCGCUGUUCUGACGGUACCCAAAGAAUAAGCACCGGCGAACUUCGU